rnacentral:rRNA from 1 species
AAAUUGAAGAGUUUGAUCAUGGCUCAGAUUGAACGCUGGCGGCAGGCCUAACACAUGCAAGUCGAACGGUAACAGGAAACAGCUUGCUGUUUCGCUGACGAGUGGCGGACGGGUGAGUAAUGUCUGGGAAACUGCCUGAUGGAGGGGGAUAACUACUGGAAACGGUAGCUAAUACCGCAUAACGUCGCAAGACCAAAGAGGGGGACCUUCGGGCCUCUUGCCAUCGGAUGUGCCC